AUUGAACGCUGGCGGCAUGCUUUACACAUGCAAGUCGAACGGGCUGUCGGGGCAACCUGGCAGUCAGUGGCGAACGGGUGAGUAAUACAUCGGAACGUGUCCUUGAGUGGGGGAUAACCCGGCGAAAGCCGGACUGAUACCGCAUACGCUCUAAGGAGGAAAGCGGGGGACCAGCAAUGGCCUCGUGCUGAAGGAGCGGCCGAUGUCCGAUUAGCUUGUUGGUGGGGUAANGGCUUACCAAGGCGACGAUCGGUAGCUGGUCUGAGAGGAUGAUCAGCCACACUGGGACUGAGACACGGCCCAGACUCCUACGGGAGGCAGCAGUGGGGAAUUUGGACAAUGGGGGCAACCCUGAUCCAGCCAUGCCGCGUGCGGGAAGAAGGCCUGGUGUAACGU
rnacentral:rRNA from 1 species